rnacentral:rRNA from 1 species
AAUUAUUGGGNGUAAAGCGCGCGCAGGCGGAUAGGUCAGUCUGUCUUAAAAGUUCGGGGCUUAACCCCGUGAUGGGAUGGAAACUGCCAAUCUAGAGUAUNGGAGAGGAAAGUGGAAUUCCUAGUGUAGCGGUGAAAUGCGUAGAUAUUAGGAAGAACACCAGUGGCGAAGGCGACUUUCUGGACGAAAACUGACGCUGAGGCGCGAAAGCCAGGGGAGCGAACGGGAUUAGACACCCCGGUAGUCCUGGCCGUAAACGAUGGGUACUAGGUGUAGGAGGUAUCGACCCCUUCUGUGCCGGAGUUAACGCAAUAAGUACCCCGCCUGGGGAGUACGACCGCAAGGUUGAAACUCAAAGGAAUUGACGGGGGCCCGCACAAGCGGUGGAGUAUGUGGUUUAAUUCGACGCAACGCGAAGAACCUUACCAGGUCUUGACAUUGAUGGACAGAACUAGAGAUAGUUCCUCUUCUUCGGAAGCCAGAAAACAGGUGGUGCACGGUUGUCGUCAGCUCGUGUCGUGAGAUGUUGGGUUAAGUCCCGCAACGAGCGCAACCCCUAUCUUAUGUUGCCAGCACGUAAUGGUGGGAACUCAUGAGAGACUGCCGCAGACAAUGCGGAGGAAGGCGGGGAUGACGUCAAAUCAUCAUGCCCCUUAUGACCUGGGCUACACACGUACUACAAUGGGAGUUAAUAGACGGAAGCGAGAUCGCGAGAUGGAGCAAACCCGAGAAACACUCUCUCAGUUCGGAUCGUAGGCUGCAACUCGCCUACGUGAAGUCGGAAUCGCUAGUAAUCGCAGGUCAGCAUACUGCGGUGAAUACGUUCCCGGGCCUUGUACACACCGCCCGUCGCACCACGAAAGUCGGAAGUGC